CCCUGGUUUGCUCAAUUGGUAGAGCGCUCCACCUGUAAUGGAGAGGUCCCGUGUUCGAUACCCAGAUCAGGCG
rfam:Ixodes scapularis strain Wikel colony gcontig_1108379681622, whole genome shotgun sequence.